CCCGAGUGCCGCGCCCCUUCCAGCGUGCCCUCUGACCACGCCCACCGCACAACCGCGGCCAACGUACGAUGUGAUUGGAUAAGCGCGCCCAGACUCAGCAGUCCCGCUAUGGAAACACCAGAAGCACGUGUCGCCCGCUGCUGUCUCUAAGAGCCGAGCACGCUGCUCAUUUAUUGCUCGUGUCAAGCGGCCACUGUGGUGAAGGGAGACAAACUGCCUUUCUUGCGGUCACGUCUCCCAUGCGAAAGAACAUUUCUUGGCAUAGUCACCCAGACAUCAGAAUGGAUUUGCAAAACACUAAAACUGUCUGCUCCCGCAGCCUGUCCAACAGCACAGGGUCACGGGGAAGCGGAGCCUGCCCGGCAACACAGAGCGUAAGGCCAGAGGGGGAGGGGACACACCCAGGACGGGACAUCAGUCCGUCGCAAGGCACCCCAAGCGGGACUCAAACCCCAGACCCACCGGAGAGGAGGACUGUGGUCCAACCCACUGCGCCACCGCACCCCCCAGCUUCAGAUAUUUUUGUUUAUUUGAUACUUACCAAGACAUGACAUUCCACUGCUGUGGUAUUUUCCCCAUUGGCAGCGUGUGUCUGAAUUGUUAACCGGUGCCAAGCAGAGCUCUCAGUUCCAGGGCUGUUCUGAGGCCCUUUGUGAAUUUUACAGUCUUCAGAGCCAACUCCACUUCAAGAGAUUAAUUGCAAAAUAAUAUUGCUGUCAUAAAAAAAUACAGAUCGAGUGUUUUCAUCAGUGCGUUGUGGCAAUGAAGUGUUGCAAAUAUAUUGCAGACAAGUUGAAAAAAAUUAACUAGUAACUGAACCAAUUAAGCGAGGGGAAUGCAUAGGAAUAACAGCUAAGAUGUACAACUGUCAAACAUCUUCUCUAAGUACUGUUGUCAAGAAGCUUUCCUCCCCAUGGUCAAAAUACAUGUUUUACUGAUGUUUCGCUUCACAUUGGAUAAACAUUUUCCACCCCAGGACUCUAGAAGAGCCCCAAGCAAAACAAAUGCUCG
rnacentral:lncRNA from 1 species